rnacentral:rRNA from 1 species
CCCUUAGAUGUUCUGGGCUGCACGCGCGCUACACUGAUGCGCUCAACGAGUUUACGACCUUGCCCGGAAGGGUUGGGUAAUCUUUUUAAAACGCAUCGUGAUGGGGAUAGAUUAUUGCAAUUAUUAAUCUUUAACGAGGAAUUCCUAGUAAGCGCGAGUCAUCAGCUCGUGCUGAUUACGUCCCUGCCCUUUGUACACACCGCCCGUCGCUACUACCGAUUGAAUGGUUUAGUGAGGCCUUCGGAUCCGCGACUCGUUUGUGGAGAAGUUGGACAAACUCAGUCAUUUAGAGGAAGUAAAAGUCGUAACA